rnacentral:rRNA from 1 species
CUGGCGGCACGCCUAACACAUGCAAGUCGAACGAAGUAGCAAUACUUAGUGGCAGACGGGUGAGUAACAUGUAGGUAUCUGCCCUUUGGCCUGGAAUAACACGAGGAAACUUGUGCUAAUACCGGAUAAGUCUUCACGGAGAAAGCUUUAUGCACCAUUGGAUGAGCCUGCACUUGAUUAGUUUGUUGGUGGGGUAAUGGCCUACCAAGACUGUGAUCAAUAGCUGAUUUGAGAGGAUGAUCAGCCACAUUGGGACUGAGACACGGCCCAAACUCCUACGGGAGGCAGCAGUGGGGAAUCUUGCACAAUGGAGGAAACUCUGAUGCAGCGAUGCCGCGUGAGUGAAGAAGGCCCUUGGGUUGUAAAGCUCUUUCGUCGGGGAAGAAAAUGACUGUACCCGAAUAAG